AAUUUUAUUAACUCAAAAGUGGUUACAAUACUUGACUUUUUAGGUCAUUACAAAGAGUUGAAAUAUCGGGUUGUCACAUCAUCCCCCCGUUAGAGGGAAUUUCGUCCCGAAAUUUAAAGUAGUAAAGAUACUAGUGAACAUGAAAGAGAUGAGGGUACUUUUGUUUCAUCUGAUCUUCGCGUUCCCAUGUGAAUUCAGGUCCCCGCUUGGCGUUCCAGCGAACCUUCACGAUGGGUAUGCGACUUUGUUUUGUUUGUUUGACCUCUCGGUCCAUGAUUUCUACUGGUUCUUCCACAAAGUUGAGGCUCUCAUUGAUCUCGAUCUCGUCGAGUGGAAUAACAAGAGUCUCAUCGGACAGACACUUUUUCAAGUUUGAGACGUGGAAGGUUGGAUGUAUGUUACUAAGUUCACGCGGUAGGUUAAGCUUGUAAGCCACAGGGCCAAUUCUGGCAAGAAUCUCGAAAGGCCCUAUGUAUCUUGGAUUUAGUUUCCCACGCUUUCCAAAGCGUAUUAAACCCUUCCACGGUGAGACCUUUAAUAAAACGUGGUCUCCUACCUGGAAUUCCAAAGGUUUCCUCCUUUGGUCAGCGUAGCUUUUCUGUCGAUCUCUAGAGGCUUUUAAUCGUUCACGGAUCUGAACGAUCUUCUCUGUCGUUUCUCGUAUGAUUUCCGGACCGGUGAGAGUGCUUUCAGGAACUCUUCCUCUAGCUAACUGGGUAUCGCCAACUUCAGUCCAGCACAGAGGGGAUCUGCACUUUCGACCAUAGAGGGCUUCAAACGGAGCAGCCUUUAUGCUUGUAUGAUAACUAUUGUUGUAUGAAAAUUCGACAAGGGGUAAAUGGAUAUCCCAUGCCUUUCCAAAGUCAAUCACACAGGCUCUUAGCAUAUCUUCUAAAGUUUGUAUCGUUCUCUCACUUUUCCCGUCUGUUUGUGGGUGGUAGGUUGUACUCAUGUAUAGGUUGGGCCCAAUUUGGAAAAUUGGGCCAUAGUUGGACUUUGGUCUAUUAUUAGACCUUUGGGCCUUUAGAUUGGGCCUUGGGCUUGAGUCAAGCUAAGAUCGGGGUAAGGUAGUCUCUUACCCAAGCAUGGACUUAUGACUAUGAGUUGGAACCCAAUUAUUAAUUGGGUCUUAUUUUGAUAUUGACAGAUCGGGAAUUUGUCAUCCAGCAGCUAUGGUUUUCUCAGCGGGACUUCAGCAUGUGAGGUGAAUUUUCCUCUAGUAGGAACGGGUCUAAGGCACCAAUGCCGACCCGCUUAUAUAUUGGUAAUAUACAGGGGUUAGCCCGAUGCAGUCUAUAUGUUUCCGAACUUCGGUCCGAUGUCGGGGUGGUCUCGAGAAGUAGUUAUAUAUGCUUGNUGUCUUUAUGUCGUGCAUGUGUAUGUUAUGUGUUAUAUGCUCCGGACUUCGGUCCGAUGUCAGGCAAGCCCGAUGCAGUGUAUAUGAUUGUGUUAUAUGUUUAUGUUAUGUUCAGUUUAUUCCGGACUUCGGUCCGAUGCAGUGGGCGAGGCCCAAGUUAUUCUGGACUUUAGUCUAAUGCAGUGGGCGAGGCCCAAGUUAUUCCAGACUUCGGUCCGAUACAGUGGACGAGGCCCAAGUUACCGGACUUCGGUCUGAUGCAGUGGGCGAGGCCCAAGUUAGUCUGGACUUCGGUCCGAUGCAGUGGGUGAGCCCCAAGUUAUUCCGUACUUCGGUCCGAUGCAGUGGGAGAGGCCCAAGUUAUUCCGGACUUCGGUCCGAUGUAGUGGGCGAGGCCCAAGUUAUUCCAGACUUCGGUCCGAUGCAGUGGGCAAGGCCCAAUAUUUGCUUUAUGUGUUAUUGUAUGGUAUGUGGUAGUUUGGGGGAGCUCACCAAGCUUCGUGCUUACAGUUUCGGUUUUGGUUUGAAGAUUGCAAUGCACACACCAUUUGUUCAGCCUGGGAUGUUUAUACUUUGAUAUUUUGACAAUUGUUACGAUAUUUUGAGAUACACUGUUUAUGAUUUUUAUAUGAUGUUCGAUGACUAUGGUUAUAUUAUUAAAUUAAAACGACAUUUUUAGACUGUAUUUUUGGGAUGUUUUAAGUGAGGAUUGAGUGCUCGUUAUGAUUAUGUAUAUUGUUAGGGUGUUGUGGUGAUACUUGAGCAAAUAUGGAUAGGUGUGGAAGGUAGUAUGGGCUCGUACUACUGAAAGCACAGGACCCAUACGUGUACCAAGGAAGUCACAACCCCUAAGGUUGGUUGGGUGUUGGUUCCCUAUCAUUAUAUAGAUUAUCAAAGAUCUUUCUGGUGUAUCACCAGAAUGGCGGCUACAAGACGUCUUGAGAUCAGAUCCGGGGUAGGAUCGGGAGCUGGCAGUCAGGAUAGGCUAGCAUUGUCAGAGGAUCAUGUCAGUUAGAUCAUCCUGGAGGAGGUGAUCGAGAUUGUCUGGGGACAGUUAUCGAAGAUGUUUGGGUCUAUUNGGUGGUAGGUUGUACUCAUGUAUAGGUUGGGCCCAAUUUGGAAAAUUGGGCCAUAGUUGGACUUUGGUCUAUUA
rnacentral:lncRNA from 1 species